rnacentral:lncRNA from 1 species
UUCCCACCUUGCUCUUGGAGAGACUCGAACUCACAACCUCUCGGUUGGAAGUGGGGGUUGCUUACCAUAAGAGCAACCCCUCUUGUCUCCCCCUUCCUCUGGUAGUGGGAAAGUGAAUACACAGUUAUUUACAUCAAUAGGGCAAAUCUGUUUAGCAUUAUUGGCUGUUAAAGGAUGGAAAAUAGAAUUCAGAGUGCAGGAAUGGCUCACUUAUAAUCGACUCAAAACUUCAAGGUUUCUCCACUAAAUAGUCUCUCUCUUUCUCACAGUUGCCUUCCUUCAUCUUCUUUUUAAACCAAAGCUACACUACAUAAAUACUUAGUAUAUUGCAUUCACUUAUUCCACAGAAAACACGUUAAAAUGACUAAAACGUGAGAGUCCAAAUGUUUAUCUGGUGAUCAAUAUUAUGGAAAAGAAUAUCCUUGUACCUUAGUUUCAAAUAUCUUCCACUAUGUUUCCUUUUAUUCCACCAUACUUUGAGGGGAUCAAUAACAUUCCCUACUCAGGCACUUACCCAACGUGAGCAGAGGCACCUUGAGUAUAAAAUCAAUGGACCGACUGAACCAGUAUUUUCGACACAUACAUAUGUGAAAAAUCACUAAAGUUUUUUUGCAAUUAUUAAUUUCUAAACUUAUAAUUUCAAAAGUGUAAUGGGUUCAGGUAUAAUAAUUGAACGCAUCAAAUGCCUCCGAAUUUUACUGGUACCCGCGACUCAUAGGUUGGAGGUGUAGGUGGCUUAGCAUUGAGCCAAACCUCAUUCAUUCCAUUAUAUUUUUGCUACCGAUUCCAAUAUUUUACUCAUAUAGUUUCAUAAUAACAUAGAUUUUAAAAGACAAAAGGAGUUGCAACCUUUCGUAAGAGCUCUUGCUAUUAAACAUGUUGACCGUUAGUACAACAACAACAACAACUAUUCAGUAUAGUCCCACAAAGUGGGGUCUGGGGAGGGUAAUAUGUUCUCCAUCCUCAUUACCUUUUUUGCUUCUUUAUAAAACAACAACAACAACUACCCAAUAUAGUCUCACAAAGUGGAGUCUGAGGAAGGUAAUAUGUAGACGAGCCUUACCCCUACCCGAAAGGGCAGAGAGGCUGUUUCCAAUCGACCCUCGGCUCAGUGAAGGAAUGUAAAAACAAAAACAAAGAUAAAAGAGCAGGACUCCAACAGAAAUAGCGUAAAUAAUUAUGUAAACAUAAGAACCAUAAAUAAAAUAGCAUGCAAU